rnacentral:rRNA from 1 species
GUAGGUGGCAAGCGUUGUCCGGAAUUAUUGGGCGUAAAGCGCGCGCAGGCGGUCCUUUAAGUCUGAUGUGAAAGCCCACGGCUCAACCGUGGAGGGUCAUUGGAAACUGGGGGACUUGAGUACAGAAGAGGGAAGCGGAAUUCCAAGUGUAGCGGUGAAAUGCGUAGAGAUUUGGAGGAACACCAGUGGCGAAGGCGGCUUUCUGGUCUGUAACUGACGCUGAGGCGCGAAAGCGUGGGGAGCAAACAGGGAUUAGAUACCCUGGUAGUCCACGCCGUAAACGAUGAGUGCUAAGUGUUAGGGGGUUUCCCGCCCCUUAGUGCUGCAGCUAACGCAUUAAGCACUCCGCCUGGGGAUACGGCCGCAAGGCUG